CCGGCGCACGGGUGAGUAACACGUAUCCAACCUGCCGUCUACUCUUGGCCAGCCUUCUGAAAGGAAGAUUAAUCCAGGAUGGGAUCAUGAGUUCACAUGUCCGCAUGAUUAAAGGUAUUUUCCGGUAGACGAUGGGGAUGCGUUCCAUUAGAUAGUAGGCGGGGUAACGGCCCACCUAGUCAACGAUGGAUAGGGGUUCUGAGAGGAAGGUCCCCCACAUUGGUACUGAGACACGGACCAA
rnacentral:rRNA from 1 species